AACACAUGCAAGUCGAGGGGCAGCAUGGUCUUAGCUUGCUAAGACUGAUGGCGACCGGCGCACGGGUGAGUAACACGUAUCCAACCUGCCGUCUACUCUUGGACAGCCUUCUGAAAGGAAGAUUAAUACAAGAUGGCAUCAUGAGUCCGCAUGUUCACAUGAUUAAAGGUAUUCCGGUAGACGAUGGGGAUGCGUUCCAUUAGAUAGUAGGCGGGGUAACGGCCCACCUAGUAUUCGAUGGAUAGGGGUUCUGAGAGGAAGGUCCCCCACAUUGGAACUGAGACACGGUCCAAACUCCUACGGGAGGCAGCAGUGAGGAAUAUUGGUCAAUGGGCGAGAGCCUGAACCAGCCAAGUAGCGUGAAGGAUGACUGCCCUAUGGGUUGUAAACUUCUUUUAUAAAGGAAUAAAGUCGGGUAUGUAUACCCGUUUGCAUGUACUUUAUGAAUAAGGAUCGGCUAACUCCGUGCCAGCAGCCGCGGUAAUACGGAGGAUCCGAGCGUUAUCCGGAUUUAUUGGGUUUAAAGGGAGCGUAGAUGGAUGUUUAAGUCAGUUGUGAAAGUUUGCGGCUCAACCGUAAAAUUGCAGUUGAUACUGGAUAUCUUGAGUGCAGUUGAGGCAGGCGGAAUUCGUGGUGUAGCGGUGAAAUGCUUAGAUAUCACGAAGAACUCCGAUUGCGAAGGCAGCCUGCUAAGCUGCAACUGACAUUGAGGCUCGAAAGUGUGGGU
rnacentral:rRNA from 1 species